rnacentral:rRNA from 1 species
AUUGAACGCUGGCGGCAGGCCUAACACAUGCAAGUCGAACGAGUGGCGGACGGGUGAGUAAUGCCUGGGAAACUGCCUGUUGGAGGGGGACAACUACCGGAAACGGAAGCCAAUACCGCAUACCAUCAGAUGUGCCCAGAUGGGAAUAGCUAGUUGGGGGGGUAACGGCUCACCAAGGCGACGAUCCCUAGCUGGUCUGAGAGGAUGACCAGCCACACUGGAACUGAGACACGGUCCAGACUCCUACGGGAGGCAGCAGUGGGGAAUAUUGCACAAUGGGCGCAAGCCUGAUGCAGCCAUGCCGCGUGUUUGAAGAAGGCCUGCGGGUUGUAAAGUACUUUCAGCGGGGAGGCGUUACCCACAGAAGAAGCACCGGCUAACUCCGUGCCAGCAGCCGCGGUAAUGC